GCCGAUUGGGCGGCGUGCUUACACAUGCAGUCGCGCGAGAAAGCUUCUUCGGAAGUGAGUAGAGCGGCGGACGGGUGCGUAACGCGUGAGAAUUUGCCCUUCAGUGAGGAAUACCCACGAGAAAUUGUGGUUAAUACUGCAUACGUUCCUACGGGAAGAAAGGUGGCUUUAUGCUGCCGCUGAAGGAUAAGCUUGCGGGCUAUUAGCUAGUUGGUGGGGUAAAGGCCUACCAAGGCGAUGAUGGCUAGCCGGCCUGAGAGGGUGUACGGCCACAUUGGGACUGAGAUACGGCCCAAACUCCUACGGGAGGCAGCAGUGAGGAAUAUUGCGCAAUGGGCGAAAGCCUGACGCAGCGACGCCGCGUGAAGGAUGAAGGUCUUCGGAUUGUAAACUUCUGUUAAGUGGGAAGAAAGGCCGAUCUCUAAUAUAGAUCGGAGAUGACGGUACCACUAGAGAAAGCACCGGCUAACUUCGUGCCAGCAGCCGCGGUAAUACGAAGGGUGCAAACGUUAUUCGGAAUCACUGGGCGUAAAGGGUGUGUAGACGGCCUACUAAGUUCGUUGUUUAAUCUUCCGGCCUAACUGGAAGCUCGCAAUGGAAACUGGUAAGCUUGAGGAUGGAAGAGAGAAGUGGAAUUCUCGGAGUAGCGGUAAAAUGCGUAGAUCUCGAGAGGAACACCGAUGGCGAAGGCAGCUUCUUGGUCCAUUCCUGACGUUGAGACACGAAAGCGUGGGUAGCAAACAGGAUUAGAUACCCUGGUAGUCCACGCUGUAAACGAUGAUCACUGGAUGUCAGCUUCGCUUUGCGAGGUUGGUAUCGAAGCUAACGCGUUAAGUGAUCCGCCUGGGAAGUACGGUCGCAAGAUUAAAACUCAAAGGAAUUGACGGGGGUCCGCACAAGCGGUGGAACAUGUGGUUUAAUUCGACACUACGCGAGGAACCUUACCUGGGCUUGACAUGCUCUUGACUGUCAUGGAAACAUGAUUUUUUAAGGCUUCGGUCUAGACAGGAGCACAGGUGCUGCAUGGGCUGUCGUCAGCUCGUGUCGUGAGAUGUUUUGGUUAAGUCCUCUAACGAGCGCAAACCCCUGGUC
rnacentral:rRNA from 1 species